UUGUUACAACACACAGGUUUUAUUUGUUUUAUUCCUUAACGCUGAUAACAAUCUGUGUUAGACAAACUAGUAAUCAAACUGUCUAUUUUGAAAAAUAUUUGGAAGACUGAUGUCCGAAGAAUUAAGGGUUUAUACAGUAUUGUUAAACCCAGAGGCCUAAAAUUGUUUCUAUUUUUAUUCCCACUUUACUUUUAAUGAAUAAUUUGUGUUAUAUUUUUACCGUAGACUAUUUUUGGCACUAUCUGGACCUCCAAUUUAAAAUAAAGAGAGCUUAAAAUAACUAUUUAGAACAAGAUGAUCCUUGUAAUAAGAGAAUAUCUCAUACAACCACUUUUCCCUUAAGUUUAUUAAUUGAAAACUAAGAGACAUCCUUUAUUGUUUUGAAUACUUGAUCUUAAGCUCCAGGCUUUGUAAAGUGGUGUUUAUAUUUUGUUUAAAAACGUCUUAAACGUCUGGGAUAAAGAAAUUAAAAUGUAAUAUAUUAAUUCAUUUAUGGUUUUAGUAUUAAACCACAAGCACCUAAAAGUUCUUUGUUAACCGUUUCUAAAUAAAUGUGAAGUGCCAAAUAUUCAAAGAACACAACGAUAUUUUUAAUGCAUAUUUUAUAGUUAAGAUACAUUUCAAAUUAGAUGUUAAGCAUUUCCAAUAUGAUGUCUUGUUUUCGAAAAAGAUUUUAAGCAUGUAGAUAUUGCUAAAUAUUUAAAAUUCUAAAACAAUUAUCCAACUUAUCGGUCUUGAAUGCAUGAGUAAUGAAAUAUUUUAAACAAGUCUCUGCGAACUUUAGAAAAGUGUGUAAACAAUCGAAACACACACCAUUAAACAGGGGUUUCCUAAAUUAACAAAUGUAUUUUCCAUUUGUGAUCUGAUGAAUUCUGACCCGUUUGGUUUCCGACCUUUUUGACAGGCGAUGGUCAAAAGUUUCCUUGCGAUGUUUGUGGGCGGACAUAUAAGUACAAACAUAACCUGAACUUCCACCUACGCUGGGAGUGCAACAGGGAACCAACAUUUCAGUGUCCCAGUUGUCCGUGGCGAGCCAAGGUGAAGAGUUCCCUCAAGAGACACAUGGUCACGCAGCACGACCAGGUCUACCAUCAUUGAUCAUGCAAAUCCACUUUUGUAUACAUUAUUAGUAUUAUGUAUUUUAUUAAGUAUUAAGACAUAUAUUUGUAUGUAUUAAAAGGAAUGAUUAAUUUUUAUUUGUCUUUAACUGUUUACCUAACCUGAGUAAAGUCACAAUGUACUAGAGAUAAAGGAUUAUAUAUUUAUACAACAGUAUAGAUACUUUUGAGCUUGCAAUGAAAGAUUAUGAAUAAAUUAAGCAACAAAUUAUAAAUGUCGUGAAGAGUGAUUGCAUUCAAGGCCUAUGUCUAGAAAGAGUUGUUAUGUUAGUAGAGUUGUAGUAGGUGGGGAAGCUAAGGUACCUGCUAUAAUUUAAGUUCAAACUAAAGGAAUGAUUAGAGGGAUUAAGUUGAAUUAUUAAAAUACAAGCUUUCAUACGGAAAGGAUCGGAACUUCGCCGCAAUAUUUAGAGACAAUCUGUAAUCUGUGUUUUACAGGAUUGGUUUAAUGAUGUGUGUCGUAGAAUUACCCCCAUUAUUGCGUAAUGACAAAUUACAACAUUUCUUUAUAAAAUAUAAAUUUCUGAUAGUGGAAGUUAAAAAUCUUCCAUUGAUUUGAUUAAUGUAUUUCACUGUAAAGCGUAAUAAAAACGUCCGUUCUCUUUUUUAUCUUUUAAUAAUAAAGUAUACAGGGUAAAUAUCAGAUAAACUAGGAAAAAUUAGGAUUUUUGGUGACCCCUCAGUUUGAAAAUCAUAAACAACUUAAUAAAUUUAGAGAUCGCUAUCUCUUUUCCACCCAAAAUAAUAGCCAGAGUUAUCAGAACAAUAUAUGAGGGAUGACUUGAAAAUUUAAAAUUAAAUUUCAAAUUGUUGAGUUGCCUCCAAAAUACUGCAUUUUUGGGAGACUUAAAAAUGUUUUAAAUCAACAAAUGACACUUCCCUUCCACAUUGUACCACUACCUAAAGGAUAUCUCCUUAUCUAAACUUAAAAAUAGUGGAUCCUGAAUUUUUAUUCACACUGUAGGAAAACACAAUAGAAGGCAGGAUAGAAAAAUGUACUUAAUCCUAAAAGGUCCUUGCGCUACUUCCGGAGUGACGGUAUAUUCCGGAUAGUUGAGUUUGAGGGUAGGGGCCGCCUCCUGUUAAGAUCUAUGAGAAAGGAUUUAGGGCAUUAAUCUCAGUCACGUCUCCUCAAAGCAGGGGAACCCAGCUUUGAACCAGCCUCUCCAGUCAAAGCAGGCAGGGGUCGGCACGCCCGUAUUUCCGGGCUAGCAACAGCCCUUAACGCUUAAGAAGACCCACCAACUCCAGUAGACUUGAACUAUUUAUGUAUCCUUGCACCCAAUAUCAUGGAUUUUGCGGUUAUUGAUUUGCCGCGUAUGGACCUCCAUAAGGUCGUCCAGAUUUAAGUGACGCAUCAGUUUUUGCUGUACCCAGAGUAGAUUCAACUGGAAGGUAUAUACCAGCCAGAAUGAACCCUCCUUGGUAGGCAGAAUAGUUUGCUCACCUAUUAAUGUUUCCUAUAAAAAGGCAGACAGCCGAUAAGUUGACACUUGACGAGUUUUGUUGCAGUGGCAUUGCAGGAACGAAUGGAACAACGCUUCUCUUGCAGUUGCGGCAAGUCCUACAAGCACAAGCAGCAUCUAAAUCAUCACGAGCGCUACGAGUGCGGCAAGGAAGCGCAGUUCGCUUGCCAACUUUGCUCGUACAGGGCGAGACAGAAACGCUCCCUCGUGACUCACAUGGUGCUGGCCCAUAACACCCAACUGACCGGAGGAUACCCAUGUGUGAGGCCACGACGACCGAGAUAGUUUUGUAUUAACAGAGUAACACAGUGGUGGACAGUAAUAGUACCUGCUUACUUGAAUUUACAACAUGUGCUUGAAGUACAUUUUACUAGACUAUACUUUAGACCAUUAUGAGAAUUAGAAAUCAUUAGUACUCAGAAUUAUAAUAUGUGACUACUUGUAAAUACAUACUACUUAAAACUGAAUAGCAGAUAUUACGAUACUUAUUGCAAAUACUACAUAAUUCCAGUCAGCAAAUUGUGAUUUUUCCACUUCACGUUAUGUUAGCAAAUAUGUUUAAAUAUAAGCUGGUUUUUGUUUAAUUGAUAGUGUACAUAUUGUUGGUUUUCUAGAAAAUACUUUGUUUACUCGCCCUUAUUGUUGAUAGAAAACAUGUUAUUGUUGGACUGAGCAAUACCGUCACUUUUAACUAAUCGUCAAUACGAGUUAAGUAUUUCCUACUUAGUACUAUAGGUUUGUUUUUCCUUUUGGCGGUUUCGUUUUUAUUUUCUAUAUUUUUAACAUGAAGUAUUAUUUUUAUUCUGAAAGCCACCAUAACUAUAGUUUUUUUGUAUAUAGUACAUUGUAUUAAUAUUUAAAUGUUAGGCAUGUUUCAUUUUUGUCAGUCAGUUCAGUUCCUAAAAUGUUUUGCUCGCUUUGUUCUCCUCGUCAUACGUCAACUCCCUGAGCCCUCUCCCUCAAGUGGCUGUAUUCUGUCUAUACCAUUGCAAGUGAAUCAAUUCAGAUUUUGUAUAUCGACACAGAUUGCGUCACAGUUUUACAAUAAUUGUCACACACACUUAAACGUAAGCCAAUAGUCAGUCUAUUCAUGUUUAUUGCCGUCGUGAACAUUUUGGGACCCCCCUUACACCUAAACUCUACGAUUGCAUUGUUCUCUGUUGCUCAUAAUGGUUUCAAUGGAAACAAUUUCUUGACUUCACAUCGGCACGGCUGCAAUGUUCCAUUAUCAUCGUCUGUGAUAUUUAUAGUAGUUGUUCGCAAUUAUCGCCUGUUCUCUAUCAUUAUGUUUCAAACAGAAUAAUAUUAUUAGUUCCCUUUAACUAGUUAAUAAGGCAAUAUCAUGCAAUUAUUAAAGAUUUGGUUUAUUAUUGUACGUUAAUUACGAACUUUAGGUAGUUUUUAUUACCUAUGUAAAGUGAAAUUGACGUUUAUUUAAAGUUGUGUUGUGUAAUAAAUGUUUUUAAACCUCUUUUGUAUUCAAUUAUUGCUUUAUUGUUGAAAAUAUACAUUUGUAGCAUUAAGUGACAGUUCCAAUUGUUAAAUUAGGAUAUUUCCGUGUCAAAAUAAAAAACCCUCACGGCUUUGUACAAUAAAACCCUAGUCCGGCCUCUUACGUAACAACUGUAGUAGGCGCGAUAUUGCUAUUUCACAUUGGCUAUCUAAAUUACCAGUGUGUACGUACGUAUUUUUAAAAGAUCGCAUUAAAACGCGUGUUUUUAGAAUCUACAAGGUUGGUGGAUGGCACCACUGAUUGGGUCGUCUGUUGGCAGAACUGGAGCGCCAUAUGUGUCAUAGAUGUGGCCGGUCCUACAAACAGAAGCAGCACCUCAACCACCAUUCACGGUACGAGUGUGGAAGAGAGCCUCACCUGAAGUGUCCAUGUUGUCCCUGGAAGACCAAGACGCGGAGCUCGCUCAAGCGGCACGUCGGCACCAAGCACUCGGAUUAUUUCCGAAAUUUUAACUUGUGUUAGUGGACAAUGGCACCUUAGAGUGACAAGAAAUGAUGAGCGGAGGCGACAAGUUCCCAUGCCCGAACUGCUCUCGCUGCUACAAGAGGAAGGGCCACCUGAACCAACAUCUUCGCUACGAGUGUAACCGAGAACCUCAGUUCGCCUGUACUCUCUGCUCCUACAAGGGCAAGAGAAAAAGUUCUCUUCAUUCCCACUAUCUGUUCAAGCACAAGAUCAACAUGCCUAGCAGUACAGUUUGAUAUCUGGAGGAGGAUAGACGUUUAGGGUAAUUCUGACCUCAAAGGUUUGGUGGACCGGGUACAACUCUCGAGUAGCGACGGCUCGGCACGGUUCGGCUGCCCCAACUGUGGACGCUCCUACAAGCACAAGUACAACUUUGUCCGGCACCAGAGAUACGAAUGUCAUCGCUCCCGCCAGUUCCCUUGCCCACAUUGCCCCUACAAGGCCAAUUACAAACAGUCAUUGCAAAGUCACGUAGCCCUAAAGCACCGGGAGGUGUAUAAUGCCGAUGAAAUUGAGAGGGCAGUUCUUUAAUUCAGAUUGAGUCAGCUCGGAAUAACUACAUUGUACCUCUGCCAUAAUAUUUAUCAAGGAACAUACACACCUAUUGUGUAAUGAACUAAGGUUCCUGUUGCACUGACCGUGUAAGGUAUAUCAAUACAUAUAUUAUUUACGAAUGGAAAAUUAUGGCAACAUAAUUAAUAAAUUAUUGUUCUUGUUUUUAUAUUUA